rnacentral:rRNA from 1 species
GGUUUGAUCAUGGCUCCAGAUUAACCGCUGCGGAUGUUUACACAUGCAAGUCGGAACGGCAGCACGGACUGCAUCUGUAAGGAGUGUAUAACCAGCAGUAAUGUAUCGGAACGUGCCUAGUAGCGGGGGAUAACUCCGCGAAAGCGUAGCUAAUACCGCAUACGCCCUUCGGGGAAAGCGGGGGACCUGCCCCGCACUAUUAGAGCGGCUUAUACCGGAUUAGCUAAGCAGGGGCAACGUCACCAUGCGACGAUCCGCAGCUUAUCAGAGGACGACCAGCCACACGGGAUUCGAGACGAUACCAGACUCUACGGGAGGCAGCAGUGGGGAAUUUUGGACAAUGGGGGAAACCCCGAUCCAGCCAUCCCGGCGUGUGGUGAUGAAGGCCUUCGGGUUGUAAAAGCACUUUAUGAAGAAAACGGCACGGGAUAAUACCCCGUGCAACUGACGGUACCUGCAGAAUAAGCACCGGCUAACUACGUGCCAGCAGCCGCGGUAAUACGUAGGGUGCAAGCGUUAAUCGGAAUUACUGGGCGUAAAGCGUGUGCAGGCGGUCUGAAAGAUGUGAAAUCCUGUUUUAACUUUGGAACUGCAUUUUUAACUACCGAGCUAGAGUGUGUCAGAGGGAGGUGGAAUUCCGCGUGUAGCAGCAAAUGCGCAGAUAUGCGGAGGAACACCGAUGGCGAAGGCAGCCUCCUGAUAAACACCGACGCUUCCGGUACCGCGGGGACAAACAGGAUUAGAUACCCCUGGUAGUCCACGCCCUAAACGAUGCUCAAUCUCAGCUGUUGGGGCCUUCGCCUUGGUAGCGCAGCUAACGCGUGAAGUUGACCGCCUGGGGAGUACGGUCGCAAGAUUAAACUCAAAGCAAUUGAUUUGGGAUCUGCACAAGUGUGACAUGGACAAUCGACAACGCGAAAACCUUACCUACCUCUUGACAUGUCUGGAAUCCCGAAGAGAUUUGGGAGUGUCGCAAGAGAACCGGAACACAGGUGCUGCAUGGCUGUCGUCAGCUCGUGUCGUGAGAUGUUGGGUUAAGUCCCGCAACGAGCGCAACCCUUGUCAUUAGUUGCUGCGAAAGGGCACUCUAAUGACUGGGUUGGUGACAAACUGAGGAAGGUGGGGAUGACGUCAAGUCCCCACACCCUAUGGGGCCACACGCGCAGCGAAUGGUCACCAGGACAGAGGUGAACCCGCGAGGGGGAGCCAAUCCCAGAAACCCGAUCGUAGUCCGGAUCGCAGUCUGCAACCUCGACUGGUAGUCGGAAUCGCUGAAUCGCAGAUCAGCAUGCAGUCGCGGUGAAUACGUUCUGGUCUUGUACACACCGCCCGUCACACCAUGGGAGUGGGUUUACCAGAAGUAGUUAGCCUAACCGUAAGGAGGGCGAUUACCAUGCAGAUUCAUGAUCAGUGGCGCCCAGCGCAG